rnacentral:rRNA from 1 species
AAAUUGAAGAGUUUGAUCAUGGCUCAGAUUGAACGCUGGCGGCAGGCCUAACACAUGCAAGUCGAACGGUAACAGGAAUCAGCUUGCUGAUUUGCUGACGAGUGGCGGACGGGUGAGUAAUGUCUGGGAAACUGCCUGAUGGAGGGGGAUAACUACUGGAAACGGUAGCUAAUACCGCAUAAUGUCGCAAGACCAAAGAGGGGGACCUUCGGGCCUCUUGCCAUCGGAUGUGCCCAGAUGGGAUUAGCUAGUAGGUGGGGUAACGGCUCACCUAGGCGACGAUCCCUAGCUGGUCUGAGAGGAUGACCAGCCACACUGGAACUGAGACACGGUCCAGACUCCUACGGGAGGCAGCAGUGGGGAAUAUUGCACAAUGGGCGCAAGCCUGAUGCAGCCAUGCCGCGUGUAUGAAGAAGGCCUUCGGGUUGUAAAAGUACUUUCAGCGGGGAGGAAGGGAGUAAAGUUAAUACCUUUACUCAUUGACGUUACCCGCAGAAGAAGCACCGGCUAACUCCGUGCCAGCAGCCGCGGUAAUACGGAGGGUGCAAGCGUUAAUCGGAAUUACUGGGCGUAAAGCGCACGCAGGCGGUUUGUUAAGUCAGAUGUGAAAUCCCCGGGCUCAACCCGGGAACUGCAUCUGAUACUGGCAAGCUUGAGUCUCGUAGAGGGGGGUAGAAUUCCAGGUGUAGCGGUGAAAUGCGUAGAGAUCUGGAGGAAUACCGGUGGCGAAGGCGGCCCCUGGACGAAGACUGACGCUCAGGUGCGAAAGCGUGGGGAGCAAACAGGAUUAGAUACUCUGGUAGUCCACGCCGUAAACGAUGUCGACUUGGAGGUUGUGCCCUUGAGGCGUGGCUUCCGGAGCUAACGCGUUAAGUCGACCGCCUGGGGAGUACGGCUGCAAGGUUAAAACUCAAAUGAAUUGACGGGGGCCCGCACAAGCGGUGGAGCAUGUGGUUUAAUUCGAUGCAACGCGAAGAACCUUACCUGGUCUUGACAUCCACAGAACCUUGUAGAGAUGACGAGGGUGCCUUCGGGAACUGUGAGACAGGUGCUGCAUGGCUGUCGUCAGCUCGUGUUGUGAAAUGUUGGGUUAAGUCCCGCAACGAGCGCAACCCUUAUCCUUUGUUGCCAGCGGUCCGGCCGGGAACUCAAAGGAGACUGCCAGUGAUAAACUGGAGGAAGGUGGGGAUGACGUCAAGUCAUCAUGGCCCUUACGACCAGGGCUACACACGUGCUACAAUGGCGCAUACAAAGAGAAGCGACCUCGCGAGAGCAAGCGGACCUCAUAAAGUGCGUCGUAGUCCGGAUUGAGUCUGCAACUCGACUCCAUGAAGUCGGAAUCGCUAGUAAUCGUGGAUCAGAAUGCCACGGUGAAUACGUUCCCGGGCCUUGUACACACCGCCCGUCACACCAUGGGAGUGGGUUGCAAAAGAAGUAGGUAGCUUAACCUUCGGGAGGGCGCUUACCACUUUGUGAUUCAUGACUGGGGUGAAGUCGUAACAAGGUAACCGUAGGGGAACCUGCGGUUGGAUCACCUCCUUA